ACAUGACCUCCGUCCACACGGGCCACAUGACACCGGGUCGGGGUCGUUUGUUACGUGCUCGUUUUCUUUUUAAGCGAGGGAGGGGCGUGCAUUUUGGGCGGGGGCAGAGAGCAAGUGGGAGCCGGCGAGGGGGGGGGCGGGAAGCUUGGCUGAUUAUAGAGCAACUGAAAUGGGGCGGUGCACUACGUCCAAGGGUCCGGACGUACGGUGGGCGGGGCCUUGCUCCCAUACCGACCAAUCAGCGGCCCCAACAUACGGUCGAAGAACCGCCCCUCGUACGCCCGGACCCUUGGAUCUAGCGGGCGACCGACUGAAAUGAUUGCCAAACAAGUAAAGGCUACAUAGUCCGUGGUAAACGAGAGCGGAGCAGGUCCCCCUGUGUGUGUGUGUGCGUGCGCGUGUUCAGGGCCACACACACACAUCAGUUCCUGGUCCGUAUGAUCCCAGACAUCAUGGGUUGGAUCCCUUAAAGCGAUCCGACUUUACAGUUUUGCUACUGUACAUACGCGUAGAAAAGAGUUAGAGUUUGCUGCACGGUGCUGCCGUGGUGUUUCUGGCUGUGGUUAACGUGUCCGUCUGUCCGUAACGUAACGCAGCCCUUCCAGAGCUCACAGUGGUACGUGUCGGGUCUGACCGGACGCGCUACAGAACAGAGAAACAAAGGAAACCGAAUCAAAACAAACAAAGAGUUAUAAAGCAUCUCAGAAAAGGGAUCAAAACAAGCAUGCGUCGAGUCUAGAGGUGGUCAUUGUGCUCACGAGGAGUGUGUGUGUGUGUGUGUGUGUGUGUGUGUGUGACUGUGUGUGUGUAUGCGCAAGAUUACAUUUAAUGUAUUGAUUGAUUUUAAUUGAUCUAUGUGCCUUUUGAGGUUUCCAAACAGAGCUUAAAAAUGUGUUUGCCAAAACCCAAACGUUUAAUGAGUAAUUACAUGUGUUGUGUACGGGUAUGAACUCUAUCAAAUGUAUCUCCACUGAAUUCAAAUAAAAAAGGACAUGCUUCUUUUGGUGAAGGGAUAAACCAUUAAAACCAGAUAUAAAAUAACAUAAUAAUCAAAGUAACAACAUAAUCGUAAUCAUAAUAAUAAUAAUAAUAAUAAUAAUAAUAGAAAGUUAACCUCUGGGAAACUAGCAUGGGGUUGGAUGCAAGUUGUCAGGAGGAAGAGGAGGAAGAGGAGGCAGUUUAGUUGAGAAGGCAGGACCAAUGGGAAGUGAGUCCAGUCCGGUCAGCCAAUCCUGGCUCAGCCAAUCCUGGCUCCGCCAUAGGCUGCAGCAGCAACAGGGUAAAGGGAGGGGUCUGCCGGGCGGGGACGGGAGGGGCGUGGGCAGUUGGAACGGACCAAUAGGAUGGCGGU
ensembl:lncRNA